rnacentral:lncRNA from 1 species
GCCUAUUUUUGGCACACAGAGGCCACUCGCAAAGUCUCGCUGCAUUCCGAGUCCGGCGGACGAAGUUGGCCAGCCCCACCCCCCAAGGCUAUAGCCCACCCGUUUUUGUGGCCUUUUUCCGCUGGACGAAUUUGGCGCCCCGGCCUUCGGGUGGUUAUUUUUGGACGCGGCUUUGCCCGCGGCUUAUUUUUGGCACACGGAGGCCCCUCGCAAAGUCUCGCGGCAUUCCGAGUCCGGCGGACGAAGUGGGCCAGCCCCACCCCCCAAGGCUAUAGCCCACCCGUUUUUGUGGCCUUUUUCCGCUGGACGAACUUGGCGCCCCGGCCUUCAGGCGGUUAUUUUUUUGGCCCGGCUUUGUCCGCGGCCUAUUUUUGGCACACGGAGGCCCCUCGAUAAGUCUCGCGGCAUUCCGACUCCGGCGGACGAAGUUGGCCAGCCCCACCCCCCAAGGCUAUAGCCCACCCGUUUUUGUGGCCUUUUUCCGCUGGACGAACUUGGCGCCGCGGCCUUCGGGCGGUUAUUUUUGGGCGCGGCUUUGCCUGCGGCCUAUUUUUGGCACACAGAGGCCACUCGCAAAGUCUCGCUGCAUUCCGAGUCCGGCGGACGAAGUUGGCCAGCCCCACCCCCCAAGGCUAUAGCCCACCCUUUUUUGUGGCCUUUUUCCGCUGGACGAACUUGGCGCCCCGGCCUUCGGGCGGUUAUUUUUGGGCGCGGCUUUGCCCGCGGCUUAUUUUUGGCACACGGAGGCCCCUCGCAAAGUCUCGCGGCAUUCCGAGUCCGGCGGACGAAGUGGGCCAGCCCCACCCCCCAAGGCUAUAGCCCACCCGUUUUUGUGGCCUUUUUCCGCUGGACGAACUUGGCGCCCCGGCCUUCGGGAGUUUAUUUUUGGACGCGGCUUUGCCCGCGGCCUAUUUUUGGCACACGGAGGCCGCUCGCAAAGUCUCGCACCAUUCCGAGUCCGGCGGAC